UGACGGUACUGUAGGAAUAAGCACCGGCUAACUCCGUGCCAGCAGCCGCGGUAAUACGGAGGGGUGCGAGCGUUAUCCGGAUUUAUUGGGGUUUAAAGGGUACCGUAGGCGGAUUAAUAAGUCAGUGGUGAAAUCCCAUCGCUUAACGAUGGAACUGCCAUUGAUACUGUUAGUCUUGAAUGAGGGUGCAGUGGUUGGGAAUGUGUAGUGUAGCGGUGAAAAUGCAUAGAUAUUUACACAGAACACCGAUUGCGAAGGCAGAUCACUAACCCUAAAUUGACGCUGAGGGACGAAAGCGUGGGGGAGCGAACAGGAUUAGAUACCCCUGGUAG
rnacentral:rRNA from 1 species